CAACCCUCAAGCUCUGCUUGGUAUUGGAUGUCACCAUUUUAAUUGGUGCAUCUUAAAAUCAGUGGCGAUGCCACUUGGCUUCUAGCGUAGUAAUACUUUUCGCUAUGGAGUUUAGGUGUGUGCUUGCCAUCAACCCCUAACUUUACA
rnacentral:misc_RNA from 1 species